rnacentral:tRNA from 1 species
GCAAUUUUAGUUUAAAUAAAAUGUCAGUUUGUCUCACUGUUGAUGGCUUUUGCUAAAUUGCU